rnacentral:RNase_MRP_RNA from 15 species
GAAGCACGGCUUCGCAGCGCACAUACAGGGAGAGAGCUCCCAAGCAUUGCUGUGAGGAAAGUCCCCGUGCCUUUGGACAGAGAGUGCCAGCAGGAGACUGCGAGAUGUCGUAAUGUUCAUUGUCAGCGACGCUUUCAUGCCGAGGUGCAGUGGCAAGAUGGCAUCCUUCACAGCAGCACAGCCAUGUCGUGAGUGUUCGAGCGAGGACGCCAACUGAACGAGGCUCAUUCUC